rnacentral:rRNA from 1 species
AACGAACGCUGGCGGCAGGCUUAACACAUGCAAGUCGAACGCAUCCUUCGGGGUGAGUGGCAGACGGGUGAGUAACGCGUGGGAACGUGCCCUUCAGUUCGGGAUAACCCAGGGAAACUUGGGCUAAUACCGGAUACGUGCGAGAGCAGAAAGAUUUAUCGCUGAAGGAUCGGCCCGCGUCUGAUUAGCUAGUUGGUGGGGUAAUGGCCCACCAACGGGACGAUCAGUAGCUGGUCUGAGAGGAUGACCAGCCACAUUGGGACUGAGACACGGCCCAAAGUCCUACGGGAGGCAGCAGUGGGGAAUAUUGGACAAUGGGCGCAAGCCUGAUCCAGCCAUGCCGCGUGGAUGAUGAAGGCCUUAGGGUUGUAAAGCUCUUUCGUCCGGGACGAUAAUGACGGUACCGGAAGAAGAAGCCCCGGCUAACUUCGUGCCAGCCGCCGCAGUAA